ensembl:ncRNA T08G11.9 ncRNA
AUGUUUGCGAGUGAAUGACAUGCAGUGAAAUGAGAGGGGAGAUGAUGAGAGAUCGGGCGCCAUUGAGAUACGCAGACGGUUAGACAUUUGUUGUUUACAGCUGCCUUCUUUUUUAUUGGCACAAAAAACAGAAAGAGCUCCUUCCAAUGC